CAGUCGAACGGCAGCACGGGAGCAAUCCUGGUGGCGAGUGGCGAACGGGUGAGUAAUAUAUCGGAACGUGCCCAGUCGUGGGGGAUAACGCAGCGAAAGCUGUGCUAAUACCGCAUACGAUCUCUGGAUGAAAGCGGGGGACUCAGUAAUGGGCCUCGCGCGAUUGGAGCGGCCGAUAUCAGAUUAGCUAGUUGGUGGGGUAAAAGCCCACCAAGGCGACGAUCUGUAGCUGGUCUGAGAGGACGACCAGCCACACUGGAACUGAGACACGGUCCAGACUCCUACGGGAGGCAGCAGUGGGGAAUUUUGGACAAUGGGCGCAAGCCUGAUCCAGCAAUGCCGCGUGCAGGAUGAAGGCCUUCGGGUUGUAAACUGCUUUUGUACGGAACGAAACGGUUCGCUUUAAUACAGUGGGCUAAUGACGGUACCGUAAGAAUAAGCACCGGCUAACUACGUGCCAGCAGCCGCGGUAAUACGUAGGGUGCGAGCGUUAAUCGGAAUUACUGGGCGUAAAGCGUGCGCAGGCGGUGAUGUAAGACAGAUGUGAAAUCCCCGGGCUCAACCUGGGACCUGCAUUUGUGACUGCAUCGCUAGAGUACGGUAGAGGGGGAUGGAAUUCCGCGUGUAGCAGUGAAAUGCGUAGAUAUGCGGAGGAACACCGAUGGCGAAGGCAAUCCCCUGGACCUGUACUGACGCUCAUGCACGAAAGCGUGGGGGAGCAAACAGGAUUAGAUACCCUGAUAGUCCACGCCCUAAACGAUGUCAACUGGUUGUUGGGUCUUCACUGACUCAGUAACGAAGCUAACGCGUGAAGUUGACCGCCUGGGGAGUACGGGCCGCAAGGUUGAAACUCAAAGGAAUUGACGG
rnacentral:rRNA from 1 species